rnacentral:rRNA from 1 species
CAGAGCUUUCCCUUCGGGGACAAAGUGACAGGUGGUGCAUGGUUGUCGUCAGCUCGUGUCGUGAGAUGUUGGGUUAAGUCCCGCAACGAGCGCAACCCUUGAUUUUAGUUGCCAGCAUUUAGUUGGGCACUCUAAAGUGACUGCCGGUGCAAGCCGGAGGAAGGUGGGGAUGACGUCAAAUCAUCAUGCCCCUUAUGACCUGGGCUACACACGUGCUACAAUGGAUAGUACAAAGGGUCGCGAAGCCGCGAGGUGGAGCUAAUCCCAUAAAACUAUUCUCAGUUCGGAUUGUAGGCUGCAACUCGCCUACAUGAAGCCGGAAUCGCUAGUAAUCGUGGAUCAGCAUGCCACGGUGAAUACGUUCCCGGGCCUUGUACACACCGCCCGUCACACCACGAGAGUUUGUAACACCCGAAGUCGGUAGGGUAACCUUUAUGGAGCCAGCCGCCGAAGGUGGGACAGAUAAUUGGGGUGAAGUCGUAACAAGGUAGCCGUAUCGGAAGGUGCGGCUGGAUCACCUCCUUUCUAAGGAA